GCGGCCGUGGCGGAAUCGGUAUACGCGCAUGGUUGAGGGCCAUGUGGGGCAACCCGUGUGGGUUCAAAUCCCACCGGCCGCACCA
rnacentral:tRNA from 1 species